CCAGCGGAUGAUGUAAAGUCGCGAUUGACACUCUUUGAGUGCUCUGAUAAACCCCCUUCUUUCCUUCCUUUCACUCUCUUCUCUCAUUUCUAGGGCUAGUUACAAACUCACAAUGCUAUUGGAAGAGUUGAAAGCAGAGCACACUACAAGUUAUUGGUGUUAGAGUUUGUGUAGAUUUGGUCAGCAUGCUGAGGCUUUUAUAGAGCUAAAACGUUAAGCUUACCCUUCACAUGCAAAUGUUCAACCAAGUUGCAUAAGUUUAGUGCAAUUUGGGCGACAAACUUGCAUGGUUUUAUGGACUAUUCACUGUAUUAGAUUCUGAGAGUUUGGUAUUUGCAAUGGAAUCUGAAAAUUAUAUCAUGGCUUAAGGGGGCUUUAAGCGGUACCAUGCAUCAUGCCAUGUGAGCGUUCACAAUCUCACAAAGGCAGCUUCACUUCCGAUUUGGAUUGGACUAGAGGUAGACCUUUUUGAACUCCCUCUUUUAUAACAAUUCUUAUAGUAACAUGCAAGUUGCAAUGUACAGAAUCGUUUGAUAGUUUCUAUAGAGGUGCUCCAGAAUGGUUCGUUUGUACUAGACAAGACUGUUCUUGGAUGCCUAAACUAAUAUGUCCAUUAUCCUUGCUUUGCCUCUUUGAGCAACUUUUGAGAUCUCUCUAGGGGUGAUCACUCUGAAGGGUUGGUAGGAUCCUUAUGUAUCUUUGGUCAGUUUUGAGCAGCUUUAAUGAUUUUAUUUUACUUUUUGCUGAUCCUUUUUUUUUGAAUGAAUAAGAAUAUUUUAGUUCAUCACAUAACUGUUUGAGCUUCUUGUGUCUUUUUGAAUGGUGCAGAUUACAGGUAACUUUUAUGUUUUCCAUGUUACUUAGAGAUAGUUCUACUAUAUAUUAGAAAAAUAGCUGCAAUUAGAAUUAGUCCUAUUUAUCCAUCUCUUCUUACCUGUCACAUGUUCUGGCCAUUUCUGCUAUUCUCUAUGCAUUGGUAAUUGGUUUUGUCCCACCUUUAUCAGUUAGUGUUAUUUAGAUGUUAACCUUCUUUUACUAUACACAAUAUGGAAGCAACUUAAUUCAUCAUGAGCUCUCGCACAUUUUUGUUGACCACUGGAUCUGAUGGUAUAUUGUAACAUGGUUUUGCUGCUCAAAAUGUGUACAACAUGGCCCAUGCUGUCGUUUGUUAGAGGCUUCCAAGGUACACAAGUUACCUGUUGUAAAAAAAAAAAAUGUACACAAGUUACCAUUUUGUCCCAUGGUUGCUCCAGUUGUCCAUUAUUAUACAUGAUACUACUUUGGGCAUUGAGUUUUGGUACUUGUUCUUUUUGUUUUUCUGUACUCAUUUCUAAUUCUCAUGUAUGCAUCCUGGCAACAAAUCUAUGUUGCAACUUUUAACAAAUUGACUCUUUCGUUUACCGAUACAUAUGUUGGUCAAGACUGCAAGAACAAGGUCCACAUGAACUUUUAAGGCGGCAAAGUUGCAACUUGCUUGGUCUUGUCCCAGGCUGUUCUUAGCCUCGUGACUUGUAUUUGCCAAUAACAUAAAAUUAUUUAUUAUCACCUCAAGAGUGUGCAUUACUGAAAGUCUCUUUUAUGGACCGUACCAUCAUAUCGUAUUCCUACUAUUAGCUAGGAUACUGCACUUCUAAUGAUGAUGAUCAUCGAGGGGACAUUAUUUAGUCCCUCUGUUCCAAAUCAUAAGUUACCAUUGUCUUAGGACUAUCUCUAACUUUGAUCAAGUUUCCAGAAAAAUAUAUUAACAUCUAAAUAUGCUAUUAUGCCCCCCCCCCCGCCUAUCAUUUGGAAUGUCUUUCAAUUUACAAGACAUGGUCAAAUGUCAAAUCGUGCUUAUUGCAUAAAGAACACAUUAGUCUAGGAGUUAAGUAGAAACAUCUUUAUCUGGAUACGGUUCUUACUGGAGGAGUGAAUCGAGGAUAUGAAAUUUGAGAUGAACAGACAGACUGUCACCUUUCCUGUGAUGUGUUAGAGAUUUAAUCUUGGGAAACUACCAUGAAAUCAGCUUAGAUAAGAGAAUAUGAUCAAGUGGCUGGAUUAUUUAGGCAAUGCACCACUUUUAAAAAGUGCAUGAUGGCGGUGUUCCAUGAUGGUUUUUGCUUGAAAGACAUAACUGAAGUUAAUAUUAUGGGAGAACCAAACUAGGUGACUUAAUGCAUAUGACAUUUUCACAAAUUUAGAAAGGAAGAGCCAGUUGACUGAAAGACAUCGAUUGGCAUUUGAAUUAAAACAUUUGGAUCAUGGUCUUUAUUUUUGGCGUACUGUUGGAUCAUGGUCUUGAAUUAAACUCUGUUUUUCCUCUUUGACCUCUUUUGCUUAAAGUGGUGAUCUUAAAAUUACCUGGCUAAGUUUUUCUUUUUUUUUUAAAAAAAAAUGUGUAAAUUCGUCCUUAGAGAGGCACCAUAAAAAACUGCAAAACAUUCACCACUUCGGUUGCCAGAUUGCUUUUUAUUGCUACAUUUUUAAUAGCUCUGUGGUUACCCCUGAGUUACUAUUAAGUAUUUCAGUGUUACACUUACGUUACUUACAUCACAAGCCUGGUAUGAUUUUCCCCCUAAGAAAAUGUGGAAAUAGGAACCAAAAGUAACUAUAUUUUAUUUAAUUGCUCCACAAUGAUUAGAACUCAGAGACAUUUGGCUCUCAUACCAUUUUGUGUUGCAUUCACCAGCUAGUCCACCCUAAAAGCUUAAGCUAAUAGGAAAAGAUGAUUAACUUGCUUGUACUUCAACAGCUAUAUCCCUCGAGAUACGAAAAUGCACGAAAAUAACCAUGAAAAGUUAUGAAAAUACUUUUCUAACAUAGGUCAUGCUGUCAUGCAUCAUCGCACAAAAUGUGACCCAAAAGAUGUACUAGGAGAAAAAAAAAGGUGGUGGAUUGGACUUGGACCAAUUUGAAUAGUUGGAGUAAAUAGAGUCGAUAUUUUGUACAGGGGACAAAUGGAUGAAAUGCAUUGCUUUGGGUAGUAAAAUGCUUCUUUUCCUUAUUAUUGAAUGACAAAACUGAAGGCAAUAAAAGGCCCUACUGCUCAUUGAUUAGAAGCAAAGGCUGUCAUAUUGCACUAUCUUUAGAAUGGGAAGUUUCUUGCUGGUGCCUAUCUUGUUUCUAGUAAAUCAACCUAUAAUCUUCCUUUGUUUUGUUCUACUAUUAUGAGUUCUGUAGCAGCAUAGCUGAGAGGUUCAAUGUAUAUGGAGAUUUGCUCUGAUUUGAUUCCCUAGUACAUGAUGAAUGUUCAACCCUACAGUCGCUAUGGCUUCCUCUUGCAACAUUUUGGACUUGAUGACAAUGUCUGAUAGUGACUUCACUGAUGAUGUUUGACAAGUUUAAUGAGGUAUAAAGAUAAAGUACUUUUGAUGGUAAAAUCGGAAGAAUUGAACUUCAGUAUCACUAUAUCUGGAAAAUAGAUAAUGGCAACAAAAUAUGAUUUCAGGGACACCUACAUAAGAAUUCAAGUAUUUUUGUUUGUUUAAGUUAGUUUAAAUUCCCCAGUUACAGAGGAACAGGUAUUCCUGUGUUUUCCAUUCAAAGAUCUUCAGAGUAUGAGGUCUAUGUGUAUUCCUUUUUCUACCUUGAUUUUUUUUGCGAGUAUCUUUUUCUACCUUGAUUAGUUCAUCACCAUCCAAGAUUGCCGACUUGAUCACCAGGUAUGUGUCUAACAUUGUUUUAAUGACAAACGAAAGAGAUAACCCUGCUGCAAUGCAUGGAAAGUGAAACCAGACAAGUCUCCUGAAGUCUGAAGCUGUACCCAAAAGGUUUGCGUGUUCAGCAUUUCUUAAUGCAGUAGUACAAGGUAUAAUGCAUUUGUUAAAAGUGUAAUGCAUUAGCUGUAACUUCAUGCUGAUACAUGGAAGGUGAAAUCAGACCAGUCUCACUGAUGACUGAAGUUUCUGUUCUAUCCCUCUAUUGUUUGUAGAGCAUUCUAUAGUUGCAGUAUUACCAGGUGUUAACAUCUGUCAUGGAUGGGCUUAAUCGCUCUUACUCUAUGCAUCAAGGUGACCUUCCUGGAAGCUUCCCACUAAGCACUGCUGGGAAUAGUUUUUGGGGUCCCUUUCUUGGAGUCACUAAACAACCUUCCCCCACCUUUGUUGCACACGGGUGGAUGGGCGGCCACUUUAUCUUGUCUGUUUUUACCAUUGUAGUUCUCUGGUGUGGUCAUGGCCAUGCAUAGUUUAAGCUUUUGCUAGCUCCUAAGCUCUAUGCCUGUAGACGAAUGAGUAGGAUAAGUGUAGGGUCAGCAGUAUGCCUCCUAGUGCAUUAACAAACUGCCUGCAUGUGGGGGUAUGAUGUUCUUUUGAUAUGGCAUAUCCCUUGUGAACCUCUAUAUAAAGCCAUUGCCUGCUGCAUUCCCUCUCACCAUACCACUACACUAGAUAUCAUACAGCAAGUUGCCCAGUUCUGCACCCUUUCCUCCUCUCAUUUUCCUUGCACCAAACUUCUUCAUCAGACCAUGAAGCUUGGAGGACAGGGGAGGCAGAUGGGGAGGCUGAACAGAGCCUUCAGGGAGAAAAGGGCUAGGUUCUACAUUUUCCGCCGCUGCGUUGUCAUGUUGCUUCGCUGGAGCGAUUAGAUAUUGAUCUCCAUGGGAGAUUAUUUCCCCUCCACUCUAGAUGUUUUUUUUUUUGGCACUGCCAUUUUGGUAGAGUUUAGAGUUUAGGCGUAGUCGUUGCUCACUUCUGUGUACAGGAUGGCCGUGUGCUGGUUCUAGUGGCAAUCUUUUUUGUUUUCUUGCUUGCCUGUUGUUUCAGGCAAGGGUGAUUGAUCCAGCUCUGUGGUCUGAGAUUGCCAAACUUUGUACUACUGGAAGAAGAUUCAUAUGAAAAAUCUGUUGUUAACGGUGAUGAUAAUGAUUAGCAAUCUAUUAAAAAAUUGUAAGCCUUGAGAAUGAAUGCUGAAGCUUUUUGUCAUGAAGAUAUACUUCUUAAUAGAUUGAAAUGAUUCAUAUGAGAUGAUUGCGCCUUUAUCCUUUUGAUAGAAAGUUGAGAUCAAAUCUCACCAUAUAUGAAGGAAUACAUCUGUCUUUAAUUUUGUUUUCCUUUGUUUUUGAGCAAAAUCGUUUUCCUUUUGUAAUGGUCAAAUCUUGUUGACUGGGAAAUAAUGACAAAGUUUUCUUUUGGAAGAAGUAGAAUGGCAGGAGCUCUACCUUUGAGUUGAGAUAGAAAAGAGAGUUUUGAGACAACACAAGAUUAUAGUCUGGCCGCAGCCGGCAGGCCUAGACACGCCAUGGCUGAAACCCAGCCAGAACAAGCAGCCAGUGGCAAAAUAGAAAAAUGAGCCCAUGAAAAGACUGGAAAACUGUGAUUUUGGGAUGCCAGAGGAGAGAAUGUCUCAAAUACUAGACCGGAAAAGGAAAAGUUUCUCUUCACUUGUACGACCGGGAAAAAGUAAAGUUUCUCAAAUAGACUGAUAGAAGAGGAAAACUGUAAUUUUGUGGUGCAAUGGCCAAUGAUAUGUAUGGCAUCAACUAGGGAACACACUGUAACCUUUUUGAGUGGAAGCUGAUUAAAACACAACUAAAUCUUUUGAGUGGAAGCUGAGUAAAACACGAGAGAGUAUUUGUUGAGUGGGUACCUAAUCAGACUGGCUAUUGUCUGAAUCAUGUCAAAUGUCAUUUCAGUAUCUUCUUUUUUUUUAAAUGAAAUUUCAAUAUCUUACUCUUGACUAAUUUAAAUGAAAGGUUCUGCAAAUUGCUAAGUUCACUAAGCACACUGAGCACUGGCACUUCUUUUCUGGAACUUAUUACUGCAAGUGUGUUUACUGCAAAUUCUUGGUCAGAUGAAACUCCCAGACUUCAUCAGAGGCAUGGGGAAAAAGGGCGUCAUGGCCUGCACGUGCCUCAGGGCCUUGGGACAUGGGUGCCUGCCCCGCACGCUCUCCUGCGUGCGUGCGUGCGUUUGUCCUCUUGCUCACUCAUUUGCCUCUGCUUGGUCACAUCCGCAGCUGUGGCUCUGCAUAUAUCCUGCAUUGUUUUCUUCUGUUCCUGGCUCCAUAAGAAAUGCAGGAGGACUGCUCUCCCCAGAAGCCAGAAGACAGGGCCCCUGUAUUCCUGAUAACGGACAGCUCAUCAUGCUGCUGCUACCCGAGUACGUGUACGUACGAUCCUGCAGAUUCAGCGGUUCAGCAUGGCUGUGAUGGAAGUUCAUUGUACCUGGCAGAGCUUCAUCAUGCGGCUGGUAUCUUAAUUUAUCCCCUUGCUGUCUUGCUUUUCUUCUCCAUGUUACACUUGGAAGGCUCACACCACUGUAAACUGUCUGCUUGAUCAUCCUGUGUAAGGAUAGCCGUGAUCUUCUUGCAUUUCCCAGAUCUCCUUGGAGUUGGCAGUAGUUACUAGUAACAAUGUAUGCUACUGUACUUUAUCCUGCUGUCGGUAGAUUAUGCCGGCAAGGAGUUGGGAAAAGUUCCUAGAGAUGUAAUACUCGAGUAUCUUGGAGAUUUCCUCAUGUCGUCUCGGUCCGUUCGGAAGUUGCUAGGAAGGACGGAAUGAGUAUCCGUAUCAUCUGUGCCGCCGGAGGAUCUUUUUGACUGGAAAAUACUUUUGAGUGUACUUGUGUCAGAUGAUUAAUUAGGCCAUCAUCUUUUGUGUGUCUUGGGUUCGGGGUGCUUGUCUUGUGAAGUUGUGGGCAUUCUAGCCGUUUGAUGCAAUAUUCUUCAUUUCUUUGUUAGUGGCACUAUCCAUGUCUCUGCUAAUUGCUAGCCAAGAACAAGACAUGAUACACUAUUGUUGUAUAUAGGGCUUUUGUCUGCUGCUCGACACUUGAGGAGUACUUGUUAUUUUUGUUUUAUCGAAAAUGGUUCCAUGUGUUGAUUUUGUGAUUCUCUUUGUUAUUUUCCUAUCAUGAGAAUAUUUUCUGCUGUGUCGAUUAAGAGUUUUUCUUUCUUCUCUAUCAUGGGGUUCUACUAAGUUGGCCUUUAGUACUGAAGUUGAUUCUGUUGUUUAUGAUUGGUAAUAAUGGGUGCAUGCAACACUGGCUAACUGUGUGUUGAAUCUUCUGUGUGAAUGUGGUCAAGCAUGUGACAUACCAUGUCUCAGUGCUGGGCAUGUAGCACACAAGAACUGUCUCAUGUUCACCAGCCAGGUCAUGGUCAAUGAGUUGAAUCUUAACCUCAUGAUAAUCUUUAGUUGCUUUCCUUAUUCCCUUUCUCAUAUAUUGGUAUCUUGAUUAAGAUAAUAGGCGCCGAUUCAGCACAUGGUGAGAAAGCUUGCAUGUCCAUGAUGAGUUUAUUAGCAAAAAGGAAAGAAAAGAAUAUCUGAUUUCUAGUACAGUUACUAACAGGUAUGCAGAGUUAUCUUACUGCUUGAUUGCCUGUAGCAGCUAAAAUCAACAUGUACUGAUUGAUUCCUCCAUUUUGUUCGAAUGCUGAGGAUCUGUUGAGGCCUGGUAGUUCCGCACUUUUUGAUUGGCUGCCUGGUGGUGCCUAAUGCUUAGAUCAAUCAAUGUUCAGUUCAUCAAUUUUCUGUGUAUGUAGUGGCUAAAUUCAUAUUAUAUUGUACCAAGUCUACUUUAGGAGCCUCGGUUAUGCCGUUUCAGGCUGUUGAAAGGUUAUACUGUAUAGAUUAAUUCAUGAUUCAUGAAGUUGCUUUAGGUCCCACUAUGAUCAGUUCAUCAAUGUUGCCUAGUGCUAACUGCUAACCUAAAUUUUGGUUGCUUGUCAUGGAACCAGGAGAAUAUACAGUUCCAAGAAUAGAUGAAAAAUCUGAUAAGGGUAAUUGGACUUUUUUUUUCUCUCUUUUGAACGAACCAUACAAUACAGUGCAAAGUUUAUAUUGAUAAUAAAACUGGAGAAAAUACAAGAUCAUAGUCCUUGAAUUUUGUGUUGAGAUGGGCAAUACAUGCAUCUCACUGAAUUCCGAACUAACUUUUAUCUCCUCGCAUGCAAUUCUCCAUCCUAUUGUUUUCCACACCCAGGAAAUAUAGAAAUACACAUAUGUUUCCUGUCUCUCUGCACAGUGUGGCUGGGGAAUUUCUAUUAUAUCCACUAGGGACGUCCAAGUAUGGAUCUGAUUAGGGUUGUUGUAACCAGCAUGAACAAUGCACAUGACAUAUCUGCAGGCAAGGAGCAAAAACAAGCUCCACUGUCGAGUCCAUGCAUUCCCCUGUUGUUUUUCACAUCUUCCAGCUUACAUCUAUUCUACUAUACAGCCUGUCAGUGAGUGUCCUGUCCAUUUGGCGGUGCAAAGGGCUAACUGCAUCCCUGAGCAACCCUAGCUGCAGCUUUUGUUUCAGGCAGGCGUGGAUGGCCACUUGAUCCUGUCCGCGGCGCGGCGCACGGUCCUCAAUCAUGGCGGGCGCUGCUCCUCAGCGCCCAUCAAGGGUCCAUGAUCACAUUGCGAUGCAGGUAAGUAUCCUAUCGAUCUGCCCCCUAAACGCUUUAUCCUAAUAAGCAAUAGAAAAAUGGAAGGAGCAUGCACUUGGACUCAGAAGUGUCCCCUCUAAGCCACCAAGUGUUGACUGCAUGUGAGCGGUGGGUGGCGGUUGUCUUGAGAUCCUGGCCCCUUGUCUAUAUAAACA